rfam:Triticum aestivum genome assembly, contig: Triticum_aestivum_CS42_TGACv1_scaffold_361061_4DS
GUUCUAUUUUCUCAGUCCGGAAAUACUUGUCAUCAAAACGGAUAAAAGGAAAUGUAUCUAGAUGUAUUUUAGUUCUAGAUACAUCUCUUUUUAUACAUUUUGAUGACAAGUAUUUUCGGACGGAGGGAGUACGAC